GGCCGGCAGUUGGAGCCGCGAGGGUAAAAUGGCGGCCGCGGCGGUUGCGGCGGGGCGCGCGGCGGGGGCAGGGCGGGCAGCGCGUUUCCCUGCCCCUUUUCCCGCCUCCCUCCCGCCGGGAGGGAGUCUCCGCCAAUAACGCGUACGCGCCGCUCUGACAGCGACGGAGGUGCGGCCUCCUCUGCUUAAAGCGAGCGGCCUCAGCCGAGGCGUGAUCCGCUCGUCGUCGCUUCGGGACCCUGGGGCAGAGCUGCCUCCGCACCUGCCUCUUCCAGGGUUGCCGGAGGAUGGCCCUAGUGACAGACUCGACGGGUGUGGAGCACUGCCCGGAUACUCCCUCCUGUUUCAUUAUUAGCACGAUAUACUUUGUCCGAGCUGGAGCCGUCCUCCUAGAGUGCAGAGAACGUUUAGGACUUCCGGCCUGAAGACAGAGCCGAGCACACGGCCCACAGCACCACCGGGCGCCUUAUGAGCACGUUGCGGAGCACGGCAGCCGCCGAGUUCAGGCGGGUUUCCAGGUCUUUUGUCUUUGGGUAGUUACUAGCGCUUUCCGCUGACGGGACGGAAGAGUCCUUGGCCAUCUGGUUCCCGCCCAAUCCCGGCCGAGGAGAGGGAGAGCUGCCUCCGGGGCGGACGCGUGUCGGUCCUCCCGAAAAAAGGGGAUUUUUAGGUGCUGCGGUACGGUUCUAUGCAAAUUAAAUUAUUUUUACCCUGGAUAGUUUUCGAUUUAUUCUGCGUAAUACAUGGCUAAUGGCGACUACAGAAUCUGUGAAGAGCUGGAAAUACCACGUCCUGUAAUUAAGACAGUAUCUCGCAAAACAAGUGAAACUUCACAUGAAGAUGCAUAAUUUAUAACGAUUACAACUACCACUUAACUCCGAGGUACACCUAAUUGGAACUCGGGAUCCCUCGGUGAGGCCUGGCGGCUGUUUCUCCGCAGGUCUACAAAGUACAAUGUCAGGUAACUGGUUGGCUCAUCCUUUGUGUUUGAAAGCAAAGCAACAGCUACAUACCUGAGCACGAGCAACAGUGCCACCAGCAACUGAACCAUCUUACCAGCAAAAGAGAAACAGCUUGGACAGUUUUGGACUUUGGUUGGUUGGGGGGUUUUGUUUGGGAUUACUGUGUUUUGUUUUUUUUACAUCUGAACCUCUUUUUGGACUUGCUACUGGUAAAGCACCCAUUUAGAGUGCUCACUUGGGAGACUAUUAAAAUUGUGGUUUCAGGUUAAGCCUGAAAGCAAACUACUCAAUUUAGUGAAGUCAGAGUAGAAUUCACAUGCUAAUUGCAAAGAUUUGAGCUCAUAAAAAAUAAAGGUUGAUGCAAAAAUACUUUAGCCAGAUUCAAUGCUAAAGUGAUGCCACAAAAUGGGUCAUUACUGC